CGCAUGGUGGCUUAGUGGUUAGCAUGUUUGCUUCACACCUCCAGGGUUGGUGGUUCGAUUCCCGCCUGUGUGU